rnacentral:lncRNA from 1 species
CUCCCUCCUUUUUUUUUUCUCUCAGUGACCAGCAUCAAACCCAUGUGGCUCUGAAGGUUCUGUUUGCCCUAAAAAGGAGAGUUUUCACAGAGCCCAUGAACUAUGGUGGAAAAGCUGUUUGGAAUAGCAGCCUGAAAAAUGCCAACCUUUAGCUGUGCUUCAAUCCUCCAAAGCCUCUGCAAUCCAAAGCAGGAAGGAUGUUGCAAAAAACAAGGACAAGAACAAAGGCUGAUGAGGAUGAAGAUGAGGAGAAAAGCAACUCCUUUUUUAUCUCCAAAAUCUCCUAAUUUUGGAGAGAAACAAUUAUUUUACUUGUAAAUAACUUAUACAAGGGGGGCUAUGCAGAGGUAUGCUUUGACACAUCAGAAUUAGGUAAAAAGCCAAAAACCAGGAAGUUUCAGACCAAAUUUUUUGGAGGGUGAUGGAAGACAAGAUUUGAUGUGAAAAGAAAACACUCACACUGCCUCUGAUUUGACCCAUUUGUCUGUUAAGGCAACAUAAACUGGAUUUUAAGUAAAUUCUUGCUUUCUCAGGUUUGCUUUCCCCACCCCCCAGUUAGGAACCAGGCCAUCAUGUGAUGGGCAAAUAGGAAAUGAAAUUUCCCAGCUCCAGCAUCUGAAUCAUCCAAAUGAAUUAGAAUUGAAGGUGAUUUUGUUAUAUGUGGGGUUAAUUCUGCAUGGGAUAUUUGUUGAAGACUGAG